rnacentral:rRNA from 1 species
AGCGAACGCUGGCGGUAGGCCUAACACAUGCAAGUCGAACGGCAGCACAGUAAGAGCUUGCUCUUACGGGUGGCGAGUGGCGGACGGGUGAGGAAUACAUCGGAAUCUACUUUUUCGUGGGGGAUAACGUAGGGAAACUUACGCUAAUACCGCAUACGACCUACGGGUGAAAGCAGGGGAUCUUCGGACCUUGCGCGAUUGAAUGAGCCGAUGUCGGAUUAGCUAGUUGGCGGGGUAAAGGCCCACCAAGGCGACGAUCCGUGGCUGGUCUGAGAGGAUGAUCAGCCACACUGGAACUGAGACACGGUCCAGACUCCUACGGGAGGCAGCAGUGGGGAAUAUUGGACAAUGGGCGCAAGCCUGAUCCAGCCAUACCGCGUGGGUGAAGAAGGCCUUCGGGUUGUAAAGCCCUUUUGUUGGGAAAGAAAAGCAGCAGGUUAAUACCCCGCUGUUCUGACGGUACCCAAAGAAUAAGCACCGGCUAACUUCGUG